GAUGAAGAACGUAGUGAAAUGCGAUACGUAGUGUGAAUUGCAGAAUUCAGUGAAUCAUCGAAUCUUUGAACGCACAUUGCACCUCUCGGUACUCCGGGAGGUAUGCCUGUUCGAGCGUCAUUUGUACCCUCAAGCUCUGCUUGGUGUUGGGUGUUUGUUCCGCCUCUGUGUGUGAACUCGCCUCAAAACAAUUGGCAGCCGGCGUACUUGUUUCGGAGCGCAGCACAUUUUGCGAUCCAGAUCAACGUACAGCGGCAUCCAAGAAGCCUUAUUUAACGCUCUUGACCUCGGAUCAGGUAGGGAUACCCGCUGAACUUAAGCAUAUCAAUAAGCGGAGGA
rnacentral:misc_RNA from 1 species